UGCGCUCCCGAUCUCCGAAGCUGGAGCGGGCCACUCAGAGGCGUGGGGCCGGGCCUGGCGGACGCUUGUUGUUGUCCGGAGGCGGAGGUCGCAGGUUCGCUCGCUCGCUGGGUCGAUCUGUGGCGGUCGACAGCAGGUCGGUCGCGAGAGCGGGCGCUGUGCAGGGGGGCGAGGCUAUGUCGCGGUGGCAACCCGGAUGGGCCGGCAGGGCCGGGAGUAACGGGACGUCGCCGCGGAGCUUCUCCCAGAUACAGUGCGACCCGAGUGGAGGCCGCGGCGCCGCUUUCCGCCCCUGAGGAGGCCGCACCGCGCGGAGUCCGCCUUGCUUUCGCCCCGGUACCGACGCAAAGCGACCAGACCGGUCCGGCCCGAUCUGCCAGGCCCAUACAGGUGGGUGUCUGUCCUGUGCCCCGUGCCGUCCGGGGCCGCCGGAACCACAGCUCCCGGCGGGCCUGGCGCGGGCGCGCUGCCUCCUGGGACUUGUAGUUCCGCCACGGCUUGGCAGAUGCCCCGCACCCGACGCGCUGCCUCCUGGGACUUGUAGUUCUGCCGCGGCCUGGCAGGUUCCCCCUCGCGCGACCAGGCGAACGAUGCAGCUUGCUGGUUAGGCAGUAGCAACUCGCUCCGCUCCUUGUUACCGGAAGAGAUCAGGCGUACUUGCAGAGCAUAACGGUGGAGCCUAUAGGUUUCCUCUCCUUGCCAAAAAGCAGACACUAGAAUAGGGGCAGAGCCCCAGGAUGGAGGGGAGCCCAGCCCAGCCUGAAGACUACUACAGGAGUCAUACCCCUUCGCAGGCUAAAGUGAUCCUCGUAUUCGUUGGGCACUCUUCCUCUGGAUGGGAAAGGGAAGCCUUGAAUACCGUAUUCGUUUAGCCCCAGGGUGAGCAGGAUGGGGUAGGUCCCCCAGCCUGGCCCCAGAAGCCUGUGUUAUACAGGGGGGUGUGGCUGAGCUGGAUCUUGGACUUGCUGCUUUGGUAUGACAGGAUCUCAUCUCUCAGCCCGUCCUUAGUGUUUGGGAGCAGGUCAGAGGAGAGAGAAGGCCUGUGCAAACCCUGGGCAAAGGCUAGACCCAGUUGUGUACAGAGCUCUGGAGUAGGGGGACUGAAGGUAGAGCCCCAUAUGAGCAGAUACCCAUGACCUGGCUUCCCAUAUCCUUAGGCAGCACUAGCCCUUCUGGAGCAAGGAGUCUUUUCCCCAAGGACAUGAAGCUGUUGGAGAACUCGAGCUUUGAGGCCAUCAACUCACAACUGACAGUAGAGACUGGAGAUGCCCACAUCAUUGGCAGGUGAGGCUGGAAGCUCUGGGGGCCAGCAUCUCAGAGGUCACUGCCCUGGCCCCUGAGUUGAAACUUGAAGCGACAGAAUGCUCCAUGUUCCUGCCUGCAUCCCAUAGGAUUGAGAGCUACUCGUGUAAGAUGGCAGGAGAUGACAAACACAUGUUCAAGCAGUUUUGCCAGGAGGGUCAGCCCCAUGUGCUGGAGGCACUAUCCCCACCCCAGACUUCGGGCCUCAGCCCCAGCAGGUGAGCUGAGAUAGGACCUGCCUCUUUGGGUCUGUGGGAUGGCAGUCUAGGCUGAUGUUUGUCUCUGUGCAGACUGAGCAAAAGCCAGGGUGGUGAAGAUGAGGGUCCUCUCAGUGACAAGUGCAGUCGCAAGACCCUCUUCUAUCUGAUUGCCACACUCAAUGAGUCCUUCAGGCCAGACUAUGACUUCAGCACAGCCCGAAGCCACGAAUUCAGCCGGGAGCCCAGCCUGAGCUGGGUGAGGACUGGGAGGGAGCCCCACCCACAGCCAUUCCCACUGCCUUCCCACUGCCUUCCCCACAUCAGCCUGGGCUCUGCCUUGUUUGGUCCUGGACCCUGCCCUGGACCCCUAUCAGCCCCAGUGUGUCCUGCCCUAGGUGGUGAAUGCAGUCAACUGCAGCCUGUUCUCAGCUGUGCGGGAAGACUUCAAGGCCCUCAAGCCGCAGCUGUGGGACGCAGUGGAUGAGGAGAUCUGUCUAGCUGAAUGUGACAUCUACAGGUGGGCCUGUAUCUUCACAGGUAGACCCCUAGGUAUAUGUGACACGGAGAGUCUCAUACUAUGUCUUGGCCUACUCUGCAGCUAUAACCCAGACCUAGACUCGGACCCCUUUGGGGAAGAUGGCAGCCUCUGGUCUUUCAAUUAUUUCUUCUACAACAAGCGGCUCAAGCGAAUUGUCUUCUUCAGCUGCCGCUCCAUCAGGUUGGUGCUGCCAGUCUCCCUUCCUCCAGUUCCUAUUGGGCCUCACCAUCUCCUCAGGUUGCCCAUCUGUUCUCAACUUUGUGCUGCCUGGACAUCCUCCCUGGGCCAUCAGCAGGCCUGGGGCAGAUGGUCCUAAGAUUGUUUCCCCACUUCCCACCCAGUGGUUCCACUUACACACCCUCAGAAGCAGGCAAUGAGCUGGACAUGGAACUGGGGGAGGAAGAAGUGGAGGAAGAGAGUGGAGGCGGAGGCAGUGAGGGCAGGGCUGAAGAGACCAGCACCAUGGAGGAGGACAGGUAUGUGAUGGUGGUGGUGGUCCCAGUCCUUGGAGCCUCUAGUGCCUGGGCCAGGUCAGGGUCUCUUCUGCCUUGUCUCCUGAGUGGUGGCUCCUCAAACUCAUUGUAUGUCAACCUUUGCCCAGGGUCCCUGUGAUCUGUAUGUGAUGAGGAGAAGCAGAGGCCCCAGCUUCAUCCAGCUUCAACCAGUGCCUGGACCUACCCACCUGAGGGGCCCAGGGCCUCCCCAGCUGCUGGCCAUACCCUGGCACUAUCACUGUCCUGGCGCUGCCCAAGGCCAAAUCUGCCUAGCCCUUUGGCUCCAGCCUGUGGAUGUGCACUCAUCCUCGAAGGCUCCUACUGCCCAUGCUGUGACUGGACUAGACAGCACGGGGCCUGCUGGAAAGAGUGACUGCCCUGCCCAAGCAGACUGCCACAGCAGGGACAGCUGGACCACAGAGUUUAUUUUUGUAUUUCAUACUGGGUCUGUACACUCCUGGCCUGAGACCCAGCAAGCAGGCUCCUGUCUUGAGCCAGUGGCCCCUGGUGCCUACCUGUUCCCCCCACCUCUCCAGGUGGGCUGUGUGCACUGAGUGUCACCUUGCUGCAGCUCAUUUGUUUCCAAUAAAAGUUUCUGUGACUCUGGACCUCAGUGCGUCGUGUGGGCGGGGCCUGCAUUGUGGGCGGGGCCUGCCAUUCAUAUCCUAGCAACCGAUGCUGCCCGACCCGCCAGGAAAACGGUUAGUUUCCCAGAGCUGUUGGUCAUCUGGACACACAGCUGUGAAAAUGGAGGCUAACAUGUUGGACACAAGCAAGCCCUUAUCAUCAGAAGGCGAUAACUUGCUUCUGGACUCAGACCUGUAUGAUGCAGACGGCUUUGACAACCCAGACCCUGGGCUGCUGUCAGAAAAGAAUGGUGAGGGGGAUUGGCCUUACCCCCUAGGCACCCGGCCAGAAACAGAACUCAUUUGGACUAGGUUCUGGGAACACAACUCCUCUGGGCAGUAACUGAUUCAACCGGGCACUUGGAGAAGGGCACUCCAGGGUGGGGCCCAAGGCCACAGGUAACAGCACUCCCUCCAUUGGCCCGCAGAGCUGUGUUCCCUGGAGCAGUCGCAGGGCCUGCAGCUUUUCACCAGCACCCAGCAGUGGCAAAACGUGCCCCUGUGUACCCGCGCCCACCAGCUGUGGCUGCUCAUUCGUACUGGCCUCCAUAAUGUUGUGGAAAAGGUGUGAUUUGGCCCAGCAUCUGCCACUGGUCUCUUCCCAGUCCAGCCCUUCCCCUGGGGGUCCUCUGCACCAGCUCCAUUGGAUCCCUCGAGUUUCCCUCUGCAGAAGAGCCCAGCCCCCACCCCUAACUGCAGAUCCUGCCCACCCUGGCCCGCAGGAAAAGAGAGCUGAGCUGCGCGUUGCUCGCUUGACACAUGGGCUGGAGCCACUGCGCCGCCUGGAGGUGCCAGCUGGGCUGCGAUCCGUGGCACAAGACCCAGUGGGAGGACAUUUCGUGGUGCUGGAUGGGGCAGGUUGCCUGCACCUGCAUAAAAAGGAUGGCUGGGCUCAGGAGACGCUGCUGGCCCCUGUGGCACUUACUGGUCUGGUAGCUGUGCUGGGCCCUCUGGGAGCGGUGGGUCGCUUUGUAGGCUGGGGCCCCACAGUGCUGGCCAUACUAAGGCCAGACCUCAGCCUGCUGUGGUUGAGCCCGCCAGAGGUGGGUAGGGUGCUAGGCCGUGAGCCCACUUGCUGCCUGCCGGUGCCCAACCUGGGGCUGCUGCUUGUGGCUGAGGUGGGCGGCAGCCUGGCUCUCUUCAAGUUCCGCUCAGGUGGUCGCCGCCUGGUGCUGCGUGGCUUACCCCUGCAGCCACCACCAGGCCUGGCCGGCACACUCAAGCGUCUGGCUCUGGGGCCAGGGUCUACCCACCAAGACACACACUGCUUCGCAGCCUACGGCUCAGCUGUGCUCACCUUCGAUCUACAAGCCUGGAAUCUCACAGAUGUGCGCCAAAAUCUGCACAAAACGUGAGGCGGGGCUGGGGACUGGAAGACAAGGUGGUCCCCUAGAGAGAGCUGGUCAUGGCAGGGGUGCAGACUGCAACACACUAGGCAGUGCUGAGUCCACGGGGCCUCCCCAUUCUCUCUAAUCCCCAGCAUCAUCUCUGACCUGGCCUACUUCGAGGAGGCAAAGGCCAUGGUGACGUCUUCCCAAGACAGUACGGUGAAGGUGUGGGAGGUUAACUGGCAGAUCCGCAUGGUGUUCGUGGGUCACACAGGUGCGCUGCUCCCAAGAUGCUCUUGUAGUGUAUUCUCUCUGCACCCGGAGCUCGGCCCUCUGCCUUUGAGCUCUGAGCUGUUGGAGAUUUCUGCUGGGUCUGACCAAGAUUCUCUGCGUUGGCUGCAUCCCGGGCCAACAGCUCCCUUCCCUCAUUCCCUGGUGUGCCUGAGAUGUGCGCUCCCGCAGGCCCGGUGACAGCAAUGGUCAUUCUCCCGAACACCACCCGAGUGUCUUCCGCCUCUCAGGAUGGAACGUUGCGCACGUGGGACCUGCAGGCGGCGGCGCAGGUGGGAGAGGUGGCGCUGUGCUCCUGGGGCCAGGACUUGCUGUCCGCGCGCGUGAGCCGUUUGCUGGCACCUGCGGCCCGGGGCUGGCCGGUGCUCUCUCUGUGCGCGAGCAGCGUGGAGCUUUGGCGCCUGAGCGAGCUCUACUCGCCGUUGGCGCAGCUGCCCGCGCCCGUGCUCUACCUCCAGGUGGCGCCUGCGCUACCAGCGCCCGUGAACCCAUCUCUGCCCGCGCGCCUCGUAUGCGCUUGUGUGGAUGGCUCCGUCUACCUGGUGUCAGCUGCAACAGGGAGAACAGUGAGCGCACUGCUGCUCGAGGCCGAGGACUGCGCGGUUGCGGUGGCCUACUGCCUUCCGCGCGAGGCCCUGUGGCUGCUGACGCGCACAGGACACCUGGUGCGCGCCAACGCAGCAUGCUGCCCCAUGAGCGUGCUGCAUCGUGUGUGCCCGCCACCGCCCCCGGCGCCACAGCCCUGUUGCUUGCACUUGUACAGCCACCUCACAGACCCCGGUAGCGCGUUAGUCUGCUGGGAGAUCGUGCGCCAGAACAAGGGCGAUCUGCGCCGCAGCGCCAUGGCCUGGGCUUGGAAGAACAAGAACCGGUGGGCGCCGGAGCCAGCGAGAUCCAGACGGGAGGGGAGCGGUGACUGAGCUCAUACCAACAGGCUCCGUCACCACCCGCAGGUACCUGCCAGUGAUAGGGCAUACAGACGGCGCACUCUCGGUGCUUGAUUGGCUCUCCUCGAAAACUGUGUUCCAUACAGAGGCGCACAGCCCAGGCCCUGUUACCGCCAUUGCGUCCACCUGGAACAGCAUCGUUUCUUCGGGUU
rnacentral:lncRNA from 1 species